AACGAUAUAAAUUGCGCCUCAGCCUCAUUAGCUGUCUCUCUCUUCCUUGUUGUGGUGAUGUUGGGUCGUUCGUGUCUCCGGUGGCAGAAUCACGAACAUCAAGAAACUACCGACAUCAUCAUUAUUAUCAGUGUUUGGUCUGGAGGCAUCAUAAGUUGAGGUAAUGGGAACGUUGACAUAAACUGACGACUGCUGCUUUGCCGUUUGCCAAUUUCUUCCUGUAAACAUGUUUCAUGUGUAUGAUUAUAUUUAACAUAUAAAUUGUAAUAAUACUUGGGCAAUCCCAUAAAAUAGUGUGGGGGGGUAAGGACGUGUUCAGAUAGUUGGUUCAAACACAUUAAUCUAACUGGAAAAAUAGGUCCAGAUUGAUCUAAAAAAAAAUUUAAAUUGCACUUCAAUCUGUGAAUGUAAUAUUCAAACUGGAAUCUAAAUAUUGUAUCACUGAAUUAAUUUGCAGCUCAAUGUAAAGUUAACGUCAGGUUGGUUUUGAUGUGUCAUGCUGCAUAGUUGGUCCACCCAAUAAAGAAAACAAAAGUAUUAAA